AGUGAACGCUGGCGGUAGGCAUAACACAUGCAAGUCGAACGGCAGCACAGAGGAGCUUGCUCCUUGGGUGGCGAGUGGCGGACGGGUGAGGAAUACAUCGGAAUCUACUCUGUCGUGGGGGAUAACGUAGGGAAACUUACGCUAAUACCGCAUACGACCUACGGGUGAAAGCAGGGGACCUUCGGGCCUUGCGCGAUUGAAUGAGCCGAUGUCGGAUUAGCUAGUUGGCGGGGUAAAGGCCCACCAAGGCGACGAUCCGUAGCUGGUCUGAGGGGCUGAACAGCCACACUGGAACUGAGACACGGUCCAGACUCCUACGGGAGGCAGCAGUGGGGAAUAUUGGACAAUGGGCGCAAGCCUGAUCCAGCCAUACCGCGUGGGUGAAGAAGGCCUUCGGGUUGUAAAGCCCUUUUGUUGGGAAAGAAAUCCAGCUGGCUAAUACCCGGUUGGGAUGACGGUACCCAAAGAAUAAGCACCGGCUAACUUCGUGCCAGCAGCCGCCGUAA
rnacentral:rRNA from 1 species